UCUCUCUCUUGUAAAAAAUCUACUAAAUAAAAGUUUGAAGUUUGCUACGUCUCUCUCUUCUCUGGUCACAACACAACUUUAUUAGGCACGUUCUGCGUAAGUGUGCUAAUGGAGAUGUCUCACUGAGAUCAUACUUUUUUGGAUUGUAUUUGGAACGUAUAGAUGACCGUAGAUUGUGUUGUGGA